rnacentral:rRNA from 1 species
UACGUAGGCAGCGAGCGUUGUUCGGAGUUACUGGGCGUAAAGAGUGCGUAGGUGGUUUUCUAAGUUUGGUGUGAAAUCUCCCGGCUCAACUGGGAGGGUGCGCCGAAAACUGGGAGACUGGAGUGUGGGAGAGGAAAGCGGAAUUCCUGGUGUAGCGGUGAAAUGCGUAGAUAUCAGGAGGAACACCUGUGGUG